UAAAGCUUUAGUGAGGGUGUGGUUCAGUGAUAGAGCUCUUGUAUAGCAUGAGUUCAAUUACUAGUACUGCCACAAAGAAACAAAAACAAAAACCCAAAGCAAAACAAAACCGCCCAAAUCCCCAAACAGAAAACUACGUACCCAUCACCCAGCUUCAACAAAUCAUGAACAGUGAAAUAGCCAAUUUUGUUGUAUUUAUUUUGUUGCCUCUCCUUUUUUUCUGUAAUAUUUUAAAGCAAUUUCUAGAUAUUAUAUUUCACCAAAUAGGCACUUGGAAAUGAAUCUGUAAUAGAUAGAGCAAUUGUAACCAUAGUGCCUUUAUUGCAUCAAACAAAAUAAUUUAACAUCACCUAAUACCAAAUUCAUUAUUAAAAAAAAUUCUGGAGGGACAGGAAGAUGGCGGUGAGGGGAGUGCAUUGCCCCCGUGUGCCGCGUCACUGUGUGGGAGUAGGACGAGUCAGGACGGCUAAAGGCUAUCUUGUUAGGAAUUUCCAGCAAUAGUGGGGUGUUCUGGAACCUGGAGGAAGGAAUUCCAUCGCACGAGGAUCGGCUACGGGGACUCAAACGCGAGAGAUUUGUCGCACGGAGGGUAACACUGCUUAUUCAGCAAAUCGCCCCGCGGCUAGAGUCUGCAGCGCGCUCUGAGAAACGAGGAGAUAGCGACGCAGGGUUACAGCGCUGCAGUUUCUGCCAGCCGUGCAAUCACCGUACUCAGUGCUGAAUUCUGGGUUCUAGACAGGGGAAGGAAGCAGUCCAAUUCGGUUCUCCACACCGGUCAGACCACAGAGGAGGCCAGCGGCCACCAUCUUGGAGAGCUGACGUCACCAUCCCUGUUUUCUUUCGACUGACAUUCAGCCAUAGAGCAGGUAAUUUCAGGCUGCCAUUCGCCUUCGGCUUGCAGACAGAUUACUCGGGCUCAGUGCUAAAUAACCCACGGAAACUGCUUCUUGGAGCCUGCUCUUAUCAGAGCAUACACUGAGCACGGAGCGGCCGAGUUCCGGCUCCUGGAACUGCUCUGGCCCAGGGCUAAGGAGCCCGCGGAAACUGCUUCUCGGUCUGGGUCCUGCUGAGUACUGUGGAGGUAAAUACCAACCGAGCCUUCGUGGGCAGCGGCAACAGGAC
rnacentral:lncRNA from 1 species